AACGCACCUUGCGCCCUUUGGUAUUCCGAAGGGCACACCUGUUUGAGUGUCGUGAAAUCAUCAACCCUUACUUUCUUGAUUGAAAGUCUGGGAUUGGACUUGGAGGCUUUUGCUGGUCCUAGGAUCGGCUCCUCUUAAAUGUAUUAGUGCGGCUCGUUGCCAACGUGUACCUUUGGUGUGAUAAAUAUCUACGCUUCUGGUCACGUGGCUACUUGUGAGACGUGCUCCCAACCGUCCUUCAGUCGGACAAUUCAUGAAACUUUGACCUCAAAUCAGGUGGGACUACCCGCUGAACUUAA
rnacentral:misc_RNA from 1 species